ACUCCGGUUGAUCCUGCCGGACCCCACCGCUAUCGGGGUGGGACUAAGCCAUGCGAGUCGGCGCCCUCCAGUCACUGGGGAGGGCGCGGCGGACGGCUCCGUAACACGUAGCUAACCUACCCUCAGGACGGGAAUAACCCCGGGAAACUGGGGCUAAU
rnacentral:rRNA from 1 species